rnacentral:rRNA from 1 species
UGGGGAAUAUUGGGCAAUGGGCGAAAGCCUGACCCAGCAACGCCGCGUGAAGGAAGAAGGCCUUCGGGUUGUAAACUUCUUUGAUCGGGGACGAAACAAAUGACGGUACCCGAAAAACAAGCCACGGCUAACUACGUGCCAGCAGCCGCGGUAAUACGUAGGUGGCGAGCGUUAUCCGGAUUUACUGGGUGUAAAGGGCGUGUAGGCGGUUUCUCAAGUCGGAUGUGAAAUUCCCAGGCUUAACCUGGGAGCUGCAACCGAAACUGGGGAACUUGAGUACUGGAGAGGAUAGCGGAAUUCCUAGUGUAGCGGUAAAAUGCGUAGAUAUUAGGAGGAACACCGGUGGCGAAGGCGGCUAUCUGGACAGUAACUGACGCUGAGGCGCGAAAGCGUGGGGAGCAAACA